GGGCGCGUAGGCGGAUUAUCAAGUCUCUUGUGAAAUCUAAUGGCUUAACCAUUAAACUGCUUGGGAAACUGAUAGUCUAGAGUGAGGGAGAGGCAGAUGGAAUUGGUGGUGUAGGGGUAAAAUCCGUAGAUAUCACCAAGAAUACCCAUUGCGAAGGCGAUCUGCUGGAACUCAACUGACGCUAAGGCGCGAAAGCGUGGGGAGCAAACAGGAUUAGAUACCCUGGUAGUCCACGCCCUAAACGAUGUACACUAGUUGUUGGGGUGCUAGUCAUCUCAGUAAUGCAGCUAACGCAUUAAGUGUACCGCCUGGGGAGUACGGUCGCAAGAUUAAAACUCAAAGGAAUAGACGGGGACCCGCACAAGCGGUGGAGCAUGUGGUUUAAUUCGAAGAUACGCGAAGAACCUUACCUGGGCUUGAUAUCCUAAGAACCUUUUAGAGAUAAGAGGGUGCUAGCUUGCUAGAACUUAGAGACAGGUGCUGCACGGCUGUCGUCAGCUCGUGUCGUGAGAUGUUGGGUUAAGUCCCGCAACGAGCGCAACCCACGUAUUUAGUUGCUAACGGUUCGGCCGAGCACUCUAAAUAGACUGCCUUCGUAAGGAGGAGGAAGGUGUGGACGACGUCAAGUCAUCAUGGCCCUUAUGCCCAGGGCGACACACGUGCUACAAUGGCAUAUACAAUGAGACGCAAUACCGCGAGGUGGAGCAAAUCUAUAAAAUAUGUCCCAGUUCGGAUUGUUCUCUGCAACUCGAGAGCAUGAAGCCGGAAUCGCUAGUAAUCGUAGAUCAGCCAUGCUACGGUGAAUACGUUCCCGGGUCUUGUACUCACCGCCCGUCACACCAUGGGAGUUGAUUUCACUCGAAGCCGGAAUACUAAACUAGUUACCGUCCACAGUGGAAUCAGCGACUGGGGUGAAGUCGUAACAAGGUAACCGUAGGAGAACCUGCGGUUGGAUCACCUCCUUUCUA
rnacentral:rRNA from 1 species